UUAAUAGGAUUAUUAUUAAUAAUAUUAUUAAUCUAAUAUAUAUAAUAAAAAUAUUUGUUUGUUUAGUAUUGUGUAAAUGAAUACUUUAUUAUUAAUUAUAGUUUAUCAGUACUUUAAAGGAAAAGCUAAUAUUUAAUAAAAGUAUAAUUAAUUAUUAGUACCUUUUGUAUCAGGGUUUAUUAAUUAUUACUAAUAUUUAUUAGUAAUCCCGAAUUUAUAAGAUAUAUAUUAUUAUAUUUAAUAAUGUAUUAAAGUUAUAUAAAAUAAUAAUAUAGUAAUGAUAUGUUAUUCACUUAUUAUAUAUCUGGUUUUUUAAUAAAUAAAUUUAAUUUAGGUAUAUUUAUAUAUAUAUAUAUUUAAUUAUUUAAUAUAUAAAUAUACUACUAUUAUUGGGGAUAAGCUCAAUAAUAAUAUUAUAAUUAAUUUAUACACUAAAGUUAUAAUAGGUUUAAUAUUGACCAUUUUAUAUUUCAUUAUAGAAUUCCUUUAGUAGUUAAGUUUACUUAAUUUUAAUUUAAUAGUAUAUUAAAAUAAUAUAUAUAUUAAUAAAGUAUAUAUAAUAAUGAUAGAAUUAGUAUUAAUAUAAUAUAAAAUAUAUUAAUUCGGCUAAUAUUAUCUUCACCUGUUUAUCAAAAACAUGUCCUUUUGAGUAUAAAUUAAUAUAAGGUCUGACCUGCCCAAUGAUUUAUAAUAAAUUUAAUGGCCGCAGUAUCUUAACUGUGCGAAGGUAGCAUAAUCAUUUGUCCUUUAAUUGUGGACUAGUAUGAAUGGUCUGAUGAAGGAUUAACUUUAUUUAUUUUAUUGUUAAAAACUUAAUUUAUGAGUAAAAAAGCUUAUAUAAUAUUAAGGGACGAGAAGACCCUAUAGAACUUUACUUAUAAUAACUUUAUUAAUAUAUAGAUCAUUAAUUAUUGUUAAUUUUAUUAUAAGUUUUAUUGGGGAGAUAGUUAAAUUUAAUUAACUUUAACUUACUAAUUUUAUCAACAAUUAUUGAUAAUAAUUGAUCCAAUUUUAUUGAUUAAAAGAGUAAGUUACCUUAGGGAUAACAGCGUAAUUCUAUUGGAGAGUUCAUAUUAAUAAUGGAGUUUGCGACCUCGAUGUUGGAUUAAAAUAAGUAUUAAAUGCAGAAGUUUAAUAACUAAGUCUGUUCGACUUUUAAAAUUUUACAUGAUCUGAGUUCAAACCGGCGUGAGCCAGGUUGGUUUCUAUCUUUAAUUAUAAGUAUAAUAUUUUAGUACGAAAGGACCAAAUAUUAGGAAUAUUUCCAUGAUUUAUUGAUUAAUAAUA
rnacentral:rRNA from 1 species